UUUCAUCUUAGGGUUUCUAAAUUUUUCCAUUCCAUCCCCAAGAUCUCAUUUUCACUGGCUGCUCUGUAAAAAUCAUCCCAAUUGUAGUUCAUAGGCAGAGGUUAGGCUGGCAUCGGCAGAUGUAUUCACAAUUGAUGAGUAAUCCCCUCUAGAGAUGCUAGCCAUUAUCCUUGAUUGACUGACAGAGGCACCAUCAACUAAGAACCAUUGGUGGUCAACUGGUCAUGGUGGUUAUACUGAAUAACUCAGAAGCUAUCGUACCUCUGCCAAAAGAAAGUGCUGACAGCCGAAUUGCCUAUUCAUGCUUUGAGACUUUUUCAGUCACAGAAACUCUGAAGGCAACUACACAUCAUUGGUCUCUGUCUGAAGUCUUGCGUUAACUGAAGAUGUGUCAAGAUAAAUAUUGAAAGGUACGGUGAUGGUGAUUCGAGGACCUUCACGAGGUGAAACAAUCGCUGAUGAAACUCAUAAUGCUUAAUGAUCACAGGUUGCAGAAUCUCUGGGACAUGUUAUACUCGGGUGGCGGUCAGUUCCAAUUGACAACUCAGACUUGGGUGAAUCUGCACUUGAGACUGAGGCACUGAGCCAGUCAUUGAGCAGUUUUUCAUCACCAAGAGUUCCAUAUCAGAGGCUGAGUUUGAGCAACAUGUCAUUCCAUGAGUUUACAAUUUGAAGUUACAGUGCACACAUGAUGGAUUUGGUUUAACUUUUUUUUAUGAACUUUUGCAGCUAUAUAUUCUUAGGGGACAGAAGAGGAUUUGUAUAAGUGGAAUUGGAUAUGAGUUGAUUCUAUAGGUUCUACUUGGAAGAUUAAUUGGUUGUAGGCUUGUAUCUUAUCCUGUGUUUGGUGGCUUUGGUCAAAUGAAAUUUAGCAAUGGACAAACCCCGAUGGGGUGUUCAUUUUUUAUUCUACGUAUACACAUGAAAUGUUUCUAUGUUAUGAUUAAGACAUAUACUAUAAUAAUAUGCUUAGUAUUUUAGACAUCCAGAAAUAACGUUUACUAAUCAUGCAACCGUGGAUAUUUUUAUAUGCACCAAGUCAAAGUAAAAUCUAGAAACUUGAAAGAUUUCCACAAUACCGGGAGAAUGUCUGUUUACACGAUUCUAUUAUAACAUUAUAAUCUAGAUUACCUCCUUCCUAUUCUUUAGUUUCAGCUUAAAUAACAUUGGCUAGGUCAUUACACUUUGUUUCUGGUAAGCUGGUGACCAAUUUUGUAGAUGCACACAUGGUCGGAAUCCAUUUACACUUUGUUUCUGGUAAGCUGGUCAUCAAUUUUGUAGAUGCACACAUGGUCGGAAUCCAUGUUGCUUGCUGUUGACAUAUAAUUUGAAAUGUUCUCUUUGUCUGUCCUAGGUGUGAUUGAUCAAAUGUCAAAACAAGUAUCUUAUAUACAGAAGUUCUAUUGAGAGAAGUUCAAUAGCCCAUUGGAGAUCAGGCAUAUCCCAUUAUUUAUUUGAUAAAAGAGUAAGCUUUAUUUUGUAAAUAGAAAAUGCAAUGAAAAGGCCAUGUAAUGUGAUAAAUUGUGUUGGAAACAGUUUGUUGGUCUGUGAUUUAAAUCCACCGACCGGAUCGAACACUAUAAAC